rnacentral:misc_RNA from 1 species
UCUCCGUUGGUGGACCAGCGGAGGGAUCAUUACCGAGUUAUCAACUCCCAAACCCCUGUGAACAUACCCAACGUUGCUUCGGCGGGACCGCCCCGGCGCCCUCGGCGUCCCGGAACCAGGCGCCCGCCGGAGGACCCAAACUCUUGUUUAAACCAUAGUGGCAUAUUCUGAGUCUCACAAGAAAAAUGAAUCAAAACUUUCAACAACGGAUCUCUUGGCUCUGGCAUCGAUGAAGACGCAGC